GUUUCAGCAGCCGCGGUAAUACAGAGGGUGCGAGCGUUAAUCGGAUUUACUGGGCGUAAAGGGCGCGUAGGCGGUAAGAUGUGUGUGAUGUGAAAGCCCCGGGCUUAACCUGGGAAGUGCAUCGCAAACUAUCUAACUGGAGUAUAUGAGAGGGUGGCGGAAUUUCCGGUGUAGCGGUGAAAUGCGUAGAGAUCGGAAGGAACGUCAAUGGCGAAGGCAGCCACCUGGCAUAAUACUGACGCUGAGGCGCGAAAGCGUGGGGAGCGAACAGGAUUAGAAACCCUUGUAGUCC
rnacentral:rRNA from 1 species